UACAGAGGUCUCAAGCGUUGUUCGGAUUCAUUGGGCGUAAAGGGUGCGUAGGCGGCGCGGUAAGUCGGGUGUGAAAUCUCGGAGCUUAACUCCGAAACUGCAUUCGAUACCGCCGUGCUUGAGGACUGGAGAGGAGACUGGAAUUUACGGUGUAGCGGUGAAAUGCGUAGAUAUCGUAAGGAAGACCAGUGGCGAAGGCGGGUCUCUGGACAGUUCCUGACGCUGAGGCACGAAGGCCAGGGGAGCAAACGGG
rnacentral:rRNA from 1 species